GUCAUUAAUUUGCAUUUUUGUUAAAGGAAUUUGAUUCCUAUGCGUUUAUUAACCAAUUCAGUUAAAACAAUCUGCCCAUUCCUAAGAAUUUGUAAGAUACUUAUUUGCAUAAAAUGGACAGAGGCCAGUCUCAAAAUCAAUCAAUAGCGUUUAUUCUCGAGAGUACAGAUCACGGUACAAUUUACAACAGGUUUACAACAACUAAAAAUGACGUCAUAGGUUUUAACUUGGCCUUCCUCCACUCCGAUACAAUGGCAGUAUAGUUCACAAGCCUUCCCACAUCGUCCACCACCUAAUAAUUAACUACUAGCCCAAGGUAAUUUACUACUAGCCCAAGGUCUCUCUUCUCCCUGUGUGGAGAUGAGAUGUCCUGUAAGGAACACAGCAUUCUAGCCAGUCUGAUGAUAACAUCAUUAGUUUCUACCAAGGAACAGACAGUCUUUGUUCUAAUUCUUGAUUAUAAUUACACAUUAUAUUCAGUACUAUGAUUAUUGUAGAAAAGGCCCAUGGAGUUGGUGGAAUACUCCUUUAAUUCAUUGCCAUUUACUCAGCUGGGCCAGGGGCGCUUUAAUUAGGUCAGGUGGAAAAUGUCCUACAGAUCUCAACUCCAUAAAAGGAGGAAAUUGCCAUCGCCUGAUCUCGCUGCUUUCUCUUCCCUAACUCCAUCUGAUCGAGAAGUUCUGUGCGUCCCCACGUAAGUCCACCGACUCUUACCUUUCAUCUGAAUGAUCUGUGGUGAUCGGGAGAGUGGGCCAUUCAGUUAUUGUUUAUAGUUAUCACCGCGGAGCGCGGCUUGGAGCGCACGCUUCAAACAUAUUGUGUAAUGUGAAUUGUCAAUGAUCACGGCCCUACGGAUCCUCAUAGGCCAAUUAUGCAAUCGAUAUGGUUCAUGUGUAUUGAAAUUAAUUAUAUGUACACAUGAAGACAAUUGAAAGCGUGAAAUGAGAAAUAUCAUUGUUUGCUAACUGAUUGACUUUGAUCAUGGGGAAUAUAGAUUGUAUAACCAUUCACUGUUUGUAUUCUUUCAUGAUUUAUGAUAAAUAGUUAUGAGCCUAAAUGACUCACGGAUGAUUACUAUUGACUUCUUAAUGAACUGGACUGUUGAAUUCCUUAACUUAUGUUAAUAAUGACUGAUAUGAUUUGAUCUUUGAUUAUGAAUUUGAUUGUAUACAUGUUAUUUGUUUCCUUUGUGAUGCAGCACAGACUACUCAGUAAAUAUACCACUUUAUGGUUAAAGGAUUUCCUGCCUCAGUCUCAUACAUUCCUCUGUCACCUGACCACCUGUUCACCUUCACUGUCAGUCAUCCUACCUGUCCAGCUACCCACACAGAUUCCACUAAUCUUUCAAUUAUAAUAAGAUUCAUACAUCCAUACAGUAACAUAGAAGUAUUCUGUUUAGUCAUAGGUCUGAUUGAAAUGUAUACAUAAUUUAAUCAUUAUUCAUAAAAAAUACCAUAACAAUUUUAUUGCAUGACAUAAGUAUUUGAUCACCUACCAACCAGUAAGAAUUCCGGCUCUCACAGACCUGUUAGUUUUUCUUUAAGAAGCCUUCCUGUUCUCCACUCAUUACCUGUAUUAAGUUCACCAAUUUGAACUCACUUACAAAGCUAACACUUACAAACUCCACUUGCCGUGUUUGGAGGAAGAACAAGGAUGUGGACAACCCCAAGAAUACCAUCCCAACCGUGAAGCAUGGAGGUGGAAACAUCAUUCUUUGGGGAUGCUUUUCUGCAAAGGGGACAUGACGACUGCACCAUAUUGAGGGGAGGAUGGAUGGGCCAUGUACGCAAGAUCUGGCCCAACAACCACCUUCCCUCAGUAAGAGCAUUGAAGAUGGGUCGUGGCUGGGUCUUCCAGCAUGACAACGACCCGAAUCACACAGCCAGGGCAACAAAGGAGUGGCUCCAUAAGAAGCAUCUCAAGGUCCUGGAGUGGCCUAGCCAGUCUCCAGACCUGAACCCAAUAGAAAAUCUUUGAAGGGAGCUGAAAGUCCAUAUUGCCCAGCGACAGCUCCAAAACCUGAAGGAUCUGGAGAAGGUCUGUAUGGAGGAGUGGAUCAAAAUCCCUGCUGCAUUGUGUGCAAACCUGGUCAAGAACUACAGGAAAUGUAUGAUCUCUGUAAUUGCAAACAAAGGUUUCUGUACCAAAUAUUAAGUUCUGCUUUUCUGAUGUAUCAAAUACAUAUGUCAUGCAAUAAAAUGCAAAUUAAUUACUUAAAAAUCAUACAAUGUGAUUUUCUGGAUUGUUGUUUUAAAUUCCGUCUCUCACAGUUGAAGUGUACCUAUGAUAACAAUUACAGACCUCUACAUGCUUUGUAAGUAGGAAAACCUGCAAAAUCGGUAGUGAAUCAAAUCCCCACUGUAUGCUCUCUAAUUCUCUUUCUUUCUUUCUUUCUCUCUCUCCUUCUCUCUCUCUUUCUCUCGGAGGACCUGAGCCCUAGGACCAUGCCUGAGGACUACCUGGCAUGAUGACUCCUUGCUGUCCCCAGUCUACCUGGUCCUGCUGCUGCUCCAGUUUCAACUGUUCUGCCUGCAGCUAUGGAACACUGACCUGUUCACUGGACGUGCUACCUGUCUCAGACCUGCUGUUUUCAACUCUCUAGAGACAGCAGGAGCAGUAGAGAUACUCUCAAUGAUCGGAUAUGAAAAGCCAACUGACAUUUACUCUUGAGGUGCUAACUUGUUGCACCCGCGACAACUACUGUGAUUAUUAUUCUUUGACACUGCUGGUCAUUUAUGAACAUUUGAACAUCUUGGCCAUGUUCUGUUAAUCUCCACCCCACACAGCCAGAAGAGGACUGGCCACCCCACAUAGCCUGGUUCCUCUCUAGGUUUCUUCCUAGGUUUUGGCCUUUCUAGGGAGUUUUUCCGAGCCACCGUGCUUCUACACCUGCAUUGCUUGCUGUUUGGGGUUUUAGAUUGAGUUUCUGUACAGCACUUUGAGAUAUCAGCUGAUGUAAGAAGGGCUAUAUAAAUACAUUUGAUUUGGUUUGUAUCCUGCCAGGAUGACCACUUUUGUGGGUCCAAAGUGAACUGUAAAGAUGGAGGGAUAAAUCAUACAGAUAAAGUCUACAUAUAGAUACUGGUGUACCGGAUAGCCCGCAGAAUAAAAAUGACAGUAAAUUGAACUCUUAUUGAAGAAAAUGUAACUCUGCCACAGACAACAUUUGGUCUAAAGAGUAAAACCUACUCUGGCAACAGUCUUUAGUUUCAGAGUUGAAUAUAUUGUUGAUAUUUCACUCUACACUAUUAAUUGAAAAUAUUUUUGUUUCUUUGUUCAGUAUUCUAAAGUGUAUUAUUUAGAGUAAUGUUGACUCAUCACAACAGUUAAUUCAACUUAAUCAAACAACACUAUUUUGUGGUUUAUAUGGUCCCAUUUGAGUUGUAAAAUCUAAUUUACGUAUUUCUUAAUGUGUCGUGUUGUGACAUCCAAUCUCUAUUGGUGUCCAUUUAUUAUGAUAAAUAAUUUCCAGCAAUUUUACAUUUCCCACCAUUUACAUUCAGAAUGCAAGUCAGCCUUCUCAAUAAAGGUUGCAACUGUAUUAUUUGUCUGUUUGCUAGCUUGCACGAUUCUUACCAUUCUCCGUCAACCUCCCUCCUCAAUGAUCUGUUUUCACCCACAGGAUUGCGUCUGACUGGAUGUUUUUUGUUGUCGCACCAUUCUCUGUAAAACGAGAUACUGAAUCCGGCGUGCCUUCUUCAGACGAUCAUACCACCUUCAAAGUCAGUUAGGUCACACCUUUUGCCCAUUCUAAUGUUCAAACAGUAAAUGAUUGUCUCAAUGCCUGUCUGCCAGCUUUAUAUAGCAAUUGACGUGACUCACUGUAUAAGUACGAUCCAUUUUCAUGAACAGGGUGUACCUAAUAAACUGGCUGGUGAGUAUAUGUAUGGAAGGUUUCAUUCAAAUCAAAUGGGGUGCUGUCAAAAAGUGAUGGAAUUUAAAUGGAUUUACCCUGAUAGACUGUUUUAAUUUCCCAUGGAACUUUAAACAAUGCAAUGGUUGAAGCAAAGCAGAAGCUUUAUUCUUAGCUAGAACAUGACAUUUUGAAUUAAAAUUAACUUUACGGGGAUCACGUGACCCUUGAACGAGAUGGCCGCAUGAACUAAGAGCUCCGCACAAGUAGUUUCCAACUCCUAAUCUUACCUCCACUCCAAGUUCACACUUAUUUAGCUUUAGUAAGAAAAAGUCAUGGCAGCUACAAAAGGCGACACUACAGGUGACAUUUUUACCUGGACUCGAGUAUUAGCGACGGAAAAAGCCUCCAAGAAGAAGCUAGCGCCAG